rnacentral:rRNA from 1 species
AUGAAUUUCAAAAUUUGUUCCAUCAAUUUCCAAAACAAGUUCGUCCAUUCUAGAAAUGCUCGCAUAUUCAAAAAAUGUUUUAAAAAUGUUCACAACUUUUAUAAAAAGUUGGCAAAUAAUAUAAAAUGUUCAGGAAUUAGUAUUUUUCAUGAUUUUAGAGAAUGUUCAAAAAUCUGUAAAUAUGUUCACGAUCUCAUAUAUGUUCACGAGUUUAAAAAAAUGUUCACGAUUUUCACGAAAGUGAGAGUGAUAGUGUAUCUCGAUGAUGCAGCAAAAUGUGGUCAUGGUUAUCGAAGAUUAUGA